rnacentral:rRNA from 1 species
GACGAACGCUGGCGGCGUGCUUAACACAUGCAAGUCGUGCGGUAAGGCCCUUUCGGGGGUACACGAGCGGCGAACGGGUGCGUAACACGUGAGCAACCUGCCCUUCACUUUGGGAUAACUGCCGGAAACGGUGGCUAAUACCGGAUAUGACUUCCUCACGCAUGUGGGGUGGUGGAAAGCCUUCGGGUGGUGGGGGAUGGGCUCGCGGUCUAUCAGCUUGUUGGUGGGGUGAUGGCCUACCAAGGCUUCGACGGGUAGCCGGCCUGAGAGGGUGACCGGCCACACUGGGACUGAGACGCGGCCCGGACUCCUACGGGAGGCAGCAGUGGGGAAUAUUGGGCGAUGGGCGAAAGCCUGAUCCAGCAACGCCGCGUGAGGGAUGACGGCCUUCGGGUUGUAAACCUCUUUGGCCUGCGACGAAGCGAGAGUGACGGUAGCAGGUAAAGAAGCACCGGCCAACUACGUG